UUCUGCUCGAUAGAUGCUACUUACGCUCUGCCGUUGAUGUUGUUCCCACCUCAAAUAAUGAGCCACCAUCAGCAAUAUUUCAGCCGGCAGCCAAGCUACUGCAUUUCCCACAAGGCUUCUUGGCAAACACACUGAGAGAUUGGGGAGCGGCGGGGGGGGGGGUCAAAAGAUCCACAACGUGAAUCUCCCCAGUUUGAUUUGGAGUUUUCUUUUGUCUCCCCAUUUGGAAGCCUCCAACCUCUUUGAUCCCCAGAGAUCCGACAGGAAUCUCCAGGCAUCGUCUCGCAGCCCGAGUGCUUAUUGAUCACCCUGUUGUGCACUCGCUCGCUCUCUCUCUCUCUCACCCAAAGGUCGGAUCAUGCAAAAAGCCCUCCGAGCGGAGGCUGCAACACUUUACAGGAACUCACAACAGCAUGCAUCCCUCCAUGACGAGACAGGCCGGAGUGAGUAGACAAGCUUCCAACAUUCUUGCCUUCCUGUCUAAACAAACGCGGGGCGCUGACGUCUGCAAAGACGGCUAAGCGGCGGUGAGAAGUGAGGCCGAGGGUUGCCUAAAGGGUUCUUUUUAAUGGCAGCUGGGUCUCUUUCCCCGUCAACCCCACACCCACCCACCAGGCUGUGUGCAGAGGUGCUUUUGUCCCGCUGCCUUUGCUGUGUUAAACUAAUUACUGAAGGUGUGACUGCUCCACAGACAGCCGACCCCCUGCACACGCGCAAUAACGUACACGCACUUUUGAACAAGAGGAAUGGUGGCUUCAUAAAGAUUUUUGGGGCUUUUUUGUUCCUAAUAAACAUGCAUUUGUUCUCCAGGAUAAAAGAAUCCAGACAUGUGGGACGAGGAAAUAAGUCAUGUCCUUAGGACCAGCCAUUAAGGGGGAAACAGGAGAAUGACGGCUCCAGAGAGAGGAGGAGAAACUCGAUCCGGGCUGGGACUGCUGCGCUGCCGCUAUACACAGAGCCAAUGUCAGGCAGGCGUGGGCCCAACACAAAGAAUAAUAAA